UACCUGCAGCUCAAGUGGUGGCCGUUAUUAUUGGGCCUAAAACGUUCGUAGCCGGUUUAUUAAAUGCCUGGGUAAAUCGAGCCGCUUAACGGUUCGAAUUCCGGGUAGACUGAUAAACUUGAGACCGGGAGAGGCCAGAGGUACUCCUGGGGUAGAGGUGAAAUUCUGUAAUCCUAGGGGGACCACCAGUGGCGAAGGCGUCUAGCUAGAACGGGUCUGACGGUGAGGUACGAAGCCCUGGGGCGCAAACCGGAUUAGAUACCCGGGUAGUCCAGGGUGUAAACGCUGCUUGCUUGAUGUUAGUCGGGCUCCGAGCCCGAUUAGUGUCGGAGAGAAGUUGUUAAGCAAGCUGCCUGGGAAGUACGGUCGCAAGACUGAAACUUAAAGGAAUUGGCGGGGAGCACAGCAACGGGUGGAGCGUGCGGUUU
rnacentral:rRNA from 1 species